GCGGCGUUCGUAUACUGGCUAUUACCCUAGCCUUCCAAGCUAGAGAAGCGGGUUCGAUUCCCGCACGCCGCUCCA
rnacentral:tRNA from 2 species